rnacentral:tRNA from 1 species
AUUUUUUUAGUACAAAAAGUAUAAUUGAUUUCCAAUCAAUAGAUUUAUUAAUUAAAAAAA